CCUACGGGAGGCAGCAGUGAGGAAUAUUGGACAAUGGGCGCAAGCCUGAUCCAGCCAUGCCGCGUGCAGGAAGAAGCAUCUAUGGUGUGUAAACUGCUUUUGUACGGGAAGAAACACUCCUACGUGUAGGAGCUUGACGGUACCGUAAGAAUAAGGAUCGGCUAACUCCGUGCCAGCAGCCGCGGUAAUACGGAGGAUCCAAGCGUUAUCCGGAAUCAUUGGGUUUAAAGGGUCCGUAGGCGGUUUAAUAAGUCAGUGGUGAAAUCUGGUCGCUUAACGAUCAAACGGCCAUUGAUACUGUUAGACUUGAAUUAUUGUGAAGUAACUAGAAUAUGUAGUGUAGCGGUGAAAUGCUUAGAUAUUACAUGGAAUACCAAUUGCGAAGGCAGGUUACUAACAAUAUAUUGACGCUGAUGGACGAAAGCGUGGGGAGCGAACAGGAUUAGAUACCCUGGUAGUCCACGCCGUAAACGAUGGAUACUAGCUGUUGGGCGCAAGUUCAGUGGCUAAGCGAAAGUGAUAAGUAUCCCACCUGGGGAGUACGUUCGCAAGAAUGAACUCAAAGGAAUUGACGG
rnacentral:rRNA from 1 species